rnacentral:lncRNA from 1 species
UUUAAGACUAUCUGAUUUUUUAUGGCAUAAAAAUACUGUCCAACAAUUGAGGAAAAAUACCAAAUAUUUCUAAGAUGAGAUCUAUUAAUUUAUAAAAUUAUUUUGUAUCAUAUGUUACUUAGAGAAUUUUGAAGUUCUUUAAUUGAUACAAAUAUAAACUUUCUUUCAAAAAUUAAAUUUUUAAGAGAACUUCAAAAUUCUCUAAGUAACAUAUGAUACAAAAUAAUUUUAGUAAUUAGUAAAUACAUCUUAGGAAUAUUAGGUAUUUUUUUCUCAAUUUUUUGAUAGUAUUUGUGUGCCAUGAAAAGUUAGAUAGUCUUAAAA